UACGGAGGGUGCAAGCGUUAAUCGGAAUUACUGGGCGUAAAGCGCACGCAGGCGGUCUGUUAAGUCAGAUGUGAAAUCCCCGGGCUUAACCUGGGAACUGCAUUUGAAACUGGCAGGCUUGAGUCUUGUAGAGGGGGGUAGAAUUCCAGGUGUAGCGGUGAAAUGCGUAGAGAUCUGGAGGAAUACCGGUGGCGAAGGCGGCCCCCUGGACAAAGACUGACGCUGAGGAGCGAAAGCGUGGGGAGCGAACAGG
rnacentral:rRNA from 1 species